CUCGUAGGCGGUUCGUCGCGUCCGGUGUGAAAGUCCAUCGCUUAACGGUGGAUCCGCGCCGGGUACGGGCGGGCUUGAGUGCGGUAGGGGAGACUGAAAUUCCCGGUGUAACGGUGGAAUGUGUAGAUAUCGGGAAGAACACCAAUGGCGAAGGCAGGUCUCUGGGCCGUCACUGACGCUGAGGAGCGAAAGCGUGGGGAGCGAACA
rnacentral:rRNA from 1 species